rnacentral:rRNA from 8 species
ACGGGUGCGUAACGCGUGGGAAUCUGCCCUUGGGUUCGGAAUAACAGUGAGAAAUUACUGCUAAUACCGGAUGAUGUCGAAAGACCAAAGAUUUAUCGCCCGAGGAUGAGCCCGCGUAGGAUUAGCUAGUUGGUGAGGUAAGAGCUCACCAAGGCGACGAUCCUUAGCUGGUCUGAGAGGAUGAUCAGCCACACUGGGACUGAGACACGGCCCAGACUCCUACGGGAGGCAGCAGUGGGGAAUAUUGGACAAUGGGCGAAAGCCUGAUCCAGCAAUGCCGCGUGAGUGAUGAAGGCCUUAGGGUUGUAAAGCUCUUUUACCCGGGAUGAUAAUGACAGUACCGGGAGAAUAAGCCCCGGCUAACUCCGUGCCAGCAGCCGCGGUAAUACGGAGGGGGCUAGCGUUAUUCGGAAUUACUGGGCGUAAAGCGCACGUAGGCGGCUUUGUAAGUAAGAGGUGAAAGCCCGGAGCUCAACUCCGGAACUGCCUUUUAGACUGCAUCGCUUGAAUCCAGGAGAGGUGAGUGGAAUUCCGAGUGUAGAGGUGAAAUUCGUAGA